rnacentral:rRNA from 1 species
GGAAGAGAAAGAAAUUCGAUUCCGUAAGUAGCGGCGAGCGAACGCGGAUUAGCCCAAACCAAUAAAGUUUUCUUUAUUGGGGUUGAGGACAUACCACAUAUAAGAGGUCAUUAUAGACGAAGAAGUUUGGAAAAACUCAUCAUAGAAGGUAAUAAUCCUGUAGUCAAAAUAAUAAUUCUUUAGGUAUGAUCCAGAGUACCACGGGACACGUGAAACCCUGUGGGAAGCAGGAGGGACCACCCUCCAAGGCUAAAUACUACCUAGUGACCGAUAGCGUA